rnacentral:rRNA from 1 species
ACUGCUCAGUAACACGUGGACAACCUGCCCUUAGGUUGGGUAUAAACCCGGGAAACUGGGUAUAAUACCCGAUAGGUCUCGAUUGCUGGAAUGCAUCGAGAUUUAAAGCUCCGGCGCCUAAGGAUGGGUCUGCGGCCUAUCAGGUAGUAGUGGGUGUAGCGUACCUACUAGCCUACGACGGGUACGGGUUGUGAGAGCAAGAGCCCGGAGAUGGAUUCUGAGACACGAAUCCAGGCCCUACGGGGUGCAGCAGGCGCGAAAACUUUACAAUGCUGGCAACAGCGAUAAGGGAACCUCGAGUGCCAGGUUACAAAUCUGGCUGUCGAGAUGCCUAAAAAGCAUUUCAUAGCAAGGGCCGGGCAAGACCGGUGCCAGCCGCCGCGGUAACACCGGCGGCUCGAGUGGUAACCGUUAUUAUUGGGUCUAAAGGGUCUGUAGCCGGCCGGAUAAGUCUCUUGAGAAAUCUGGCAGCUUAACUGUCAGGCUUUCAGGAGAUACUGUCUGGCUCGAGGCCGGGAGAGGUGAGAGGUACUUCAGGGGUAGGGGUGAAAUCUUGUAAUCCUUGAAGGACCACCAGUGGCGAAGGCGUCUCACCAGAACGGACCUGACGGCAAGGGACGAAAGCUAGGGGCACGAACCGGAUUAGAUACCCGGGUAGUCCCAGCCGUAAACGAUACUCGCUAGGUGUCGGCCACGGUGCGACCGUUGUCGGUGCCGUAGGGAAGCCAUGAAGCGAGCCACCUGGGAAGUACGGCCGCAAGGCUGAAACUUAAAGGAAUUGGCGGGGGAGCACCACAACGGGUGGAGCUUGCGGUUUAAUUGGAUUCAACGCCGGAAAUCUUACCGGGACCGACAGCGAUAUGAAGGCCAGGCUGAAGACUUUGCCGGAUUAGCUGAGAGGUGGUGCAUGGCCGUCGUCAGUUCGUACUGUGAAGCAUCCUGUUAAGUCAGGCAACGAGCGAGACCCCUGCC